GACGAACGCUGGCGGCGUGCUUAACACAUGCAAGUCGAACGGAAAGGCCCUGCUUUUGUGGGGUUUUCGAGUCGCGCACGGGUGAGUUACCCGUGAGUCUCCUUCCCUUUACUUUGGGAUAUCCUCAGGAAACCGCUGCUAAUACCUGCUUGGUGCUCCUGCUGCAUGGUGGUGUUUGGACAUUUUAGGCGGUUGUGGAUGGACUUGCGGCUUAUUAGCUUGUUGGUGGGGUAGUGGCUUACCAAGGCUUUGAAGGGUAGCCUGCCUGAGAGGGUGAACAGGGACAUGAGGACUGAGAGACGGAGCAGACUGGAACGGUGGGCAGCAGGGGGGAGUAUGGCACAGUGGGCGGAAGCCUGAUGAAGAAACGCCGCGUGCGGAAUGACGGCCUUCGGGGGGUAAACCGCAGUAGCCUGUGACGAAGCGGGAGUGACGGUAAUGGGUAAAGAAGCACCGGCUAACUACGUG
rnacentral:rRNA from 1 species